UACAGCCCCACACUGUUAUUUUUUUCUUGCUACACCUGAAUACACGAAUUUUCUUUUUAAAACCAAUAGAACUCUUCAAUAUUAUAAACUGUCGCUCCUUUUUAAAAAGAAAUCUAUAUAGCUAGUCCAUAUGUUUUCCAGCUAAGACAUAGCAUAAAACCUCCAUAUGUUUAAGAAUGCUGUAUUACAGACACAAUCAUACACAUACACACCCGAUGCAACUCCACACUUAUCCACUGAUGACUGAACCAUCUGAGAUAGUUGGUGGGGGAGAGGGAGAAAGAGGCUGGAGAGGAUUUUUUUUUUUUUUUACAAUAGACAUGCAUACUAUUUACUGAACAAGACAUUUUGCUCUGUGUUGUUUUUUUUUUUUAGCUUGUGGGGGAAAUCCUAAUUUUAUUUAGACUUUGUAUGGCAUGGGUUACUCAGUUCACAGCAGAGGCACCUGCAGCAAAUUAAUUUGUUGUAGCACGUUAAUUAUCUCAUAGCUUCUAUUUAGGCUGCAGCUGUUGCUAUUAUGUUAAUAAUAUUUUUUAUCACCACUGUAUACAACAGGUUAUGGCAAUAAUAGAAAUAUCUCUUUUUUUGUGUGCCCCCCCCCCCCGUUGUUUCCAUUUUUCUAUGUCAGAAGGGAAGGCUGAAAGAAAUUUAGGCAAAUUAAGCCCCAAAGCACACUAUAAUUUUCUAUUCCUGAACCGAUUUGUGAGAGAAUGGGUAACUGAAAUUAGCAAAGAAUCACCCCACACAAAGAUGGCGCGUGCAGAAUUUGUGAAAGCGAAAAAGAAGACGAAGGAGAAGCCAAAGAGGGACGGAAUACUGCAGUGCUGGGGUGCAGCUGGAGUCCAGAAAUGAUUUUUUUCGAUGAAUUUAGGAUUUUGCCGCAGUAUACAUCUGCAGUCCCAGAAUCCUCCGUGUGGCAAAGACUGUUGUGUCAAACCAGUGAAGGCCUGGAGAACACACAACUCCAAGCAUGAAGAGUAUUCCUGGCAUAACUGAAGCAGCCAUGAACAUAAGUACCACUGCUGCUGCCACCGCCACCACCAUGGCCAUCGCCUCCCACCACCUUCACCGCCCCUCCCUCGUUCAGCAGUGCACACCAGAUGCAAGCUUUCCAUAGUGGCUGUCCGCCGAAUCUGCCCAGUGGGUUCCUAGAUUACUUCUGUGUGCAAGAAUAGCCAACCAUGUAGUCUGACAAGAGGUAUUUACAACUACUUAGCCUGUUCAGCUGGAAAGAAAUCAAAAGAUAACACUGAACCCAGAGAUGAUGGAUUGCAAAUCAAAAGCCCCAAUCCAUAAAUAGCCCACUUGAUGAACUGCUAAAUGAAAAGCUGAUCCUGAUUAUUGUCCAGUGUUUGCAGGUUGUCAAAAAGAAAUAUGUAUUUUUUAACAAGCUUUCUCAGAGAAUCAGGAUUUAUUGUUUAGAAAUGCAUGGAAUAUUAUUUAGUCUUACCUUUCUGCUGGGAGAGGAUUCUUUCCAAGGAGAUUCAGAUAGAGUCCAGAGAGACCACACCCUUGUUCCACUGGUUUCUGCUGUUUCUGUUUAUUUUCAAGCCGGG